AUUGAACGCUGGCGGCAGGCCUAACACAUGCAAGUCGAGCGGAUGAAGGGAGCUUGCUCCUGGAUUCAGCGGCGGACGGGUGAGUAAUGCCUAGGAAUCUGCCUGGUAGUGGGGGAUAACGUCCGGAAACGGGCGCUAAUACCGCAUACGUCCUGAGGGAGAAAGUGGGGGAUCUUCGGACCUCUCGCUAUCAGAUGAGCCUAGGUCGGAUUAGCUAGUUGGGGGGGUAAAGGCCUACCAAGGCGACGAUCCGUAACUGGUCUGAGAGGAUGAUCAGUCAGCCUGGAACUGAGACACGGUCCAGACUCCUACGGGAGGCAGCGGUGGGGAAUAUUGCACAAUGGACGAAUGCCUGAUCCAGCCAUGCCGCGUGUGUGAAGAAGGUCUUCGGAUUGUAGAGCACUGUAAGUUGGGAGGAAGGGAAGUAAGUUAAUACCUGACUGUUUUGACGUUACCAACAGAAUAAGCACCGGCUAACUUCGUG
rnacentral:rRNA from 1 species